GCGGAGGAAAAGAAACCAACAGGGAUUGCCCUAGUAACGGCGAGUGAAGCGGCAACAGCUCAAAUUUGAAAUCUGGCGUCUUUGGCGUCCGAGUUGUAAUUUGCAGAGGGCGCUUUGGCAUUGGCAGCGGUCCAAGUUCCUUGGAACAGGACGUCACAGAGGGUGAGAAUCCCGUACGUGGUCGCUAGCCUUUGCCGUGUAAAGCCCCUUCGACGAGUCGAGUUGUUUGGGAAUGCAGCUCUAAAUGGGAGGUAAAUUUCUUCUAAAGCUAAAUACUGGCCAGAGACCGAUAGCGCACAAGUAGAGUGAUCGAAAGAUGAAAAGCACUUUGGAAAGAGAGUUAAAAAGCACGUGAAAUUGUUGAAAGGGAAGCGCUUGCAGCCAGACUUGCCUGUAGUUGCUCAUCCGGGUUUCUACCCGGUGCACUCUUCUAUAGGCAGGCCAGCAUCAGUUUGGGCGGUUGGAUAAAGGUCUCUGUCAUGUACCUCCUUUCGGGGAGAACUUAUAGGGGAGACGACAUGCAACCAGCCUGGACUGAGGUCCGCGCAUCUGCUAGGAUGCUGGCGUAAUGGCUGUAAGCGGCCCGUCUUGAAACACGGACCAAGGAGUCUAACAUCUAUGCGAGUGUUUGGGUGUCAAGCCCGAGCGCGUAAUGAAAGUGAACGGAGGUGGGAACCUUUCGGGGUGCACCAUCGACCGAUCCUGAUGUCUUCGGAUGGAUUUGAGUAAGAGCAUAGCUGUUGGGACCCGAAAGAUGGUGAACUAUGCUUGAAUAGGGUGAAGCCAGAGGAAACUCUGGUGGAGGCUCGCAGCGGUUCUGACGUGCAAAUCGAUCGUCA
rnacentral:sRNA from 1 species